GAAAUCUUUGCUCAGAUCGGAUGGAAAACACCGACAAUAACGCCCUCAGUAUCCUUUCACGGGAGAAGCUGGACCAGGUUGCGGCCUGGGUCGCGGCCACCAUGUCUUCCGCCUUUUUCUCCUCCUUAGAACGAUUCUCCUGUGUCAACAUUGCCACCAAUGAUCUUGACGACGAAGACGACGACGACGACCAGCUUCUCUUGUCCAAUCAGCCGCUUUCCGAUCAAAUUAUACUCCCU
rnacentral:misc_RNA from 1 species